rnacentral:tRNA from 1 species
CUUUUAGUGGCUGAGUAUAGCAUUGGCCUCUUAAGCCAAACCACGGUUUUCCCCUAAAAGA